rnacentral:rRNA from 1 species
GACGGACGCUGGCGGCGUGCCUAAUACAUGCAAGUAGAACGCACAGUUUAUACCGUAGCUUGCUACACCAUAGACUGUGAGUUGCGAACGGGUGAGUAACGCGUAGGUAACCUGCCUGGUAGCGGGGGCUCACUAUUGGACACGAUAGCUAAUACCGCCUAAUAUUAAUUAUUUCAUGCUAAUUAAUUAAAAGGUUCAAUUGCACCACUACCAGAUGGACCUGCGUUGUAUUAGCUAGUAGGUGAGGUAACGGCUCACCUAGGCGAAGAUACAUAGCCGACCGGGGAGGGAGAGCGGACACACCGAGACUGGGACACGGCCAAGGCCCCUACGGGAGGGAGCAGUAGGGAAUCUUAGGAAAUGGAAGAAAGUCUGACCGAGAAACGGCGAGGGAGUGAAGAAGGUUUUCGGAUCGUAAAGCUCAGUUGGAAGAGAAGAACGGGUGUGAGAGUGGAAAGUUCACAGUGUGACGGUAUCUUAACAGAAAGGGACGGCUAACUACGUG